UAAAUGGAAACCAAGAAGAACCUAUGCUCUA
rnacentral:piRNA from 1 species